rnacentral:rRNA from 1 species
UAUUUCAUUAAGCGGAGGAAAUGAAACCAACAGGGAUUGCCUUAGUAACGGCGAGUGAAGCGGCAAAAGCUCAAAUUUGAAAUCUGGCACUUUCAGUGUCCGAGUUGUAAUUUGAAGAAGGUAACUUUGGAGUUGGCCCUUGUCUAUGUUCCUUGGAACAGGACGUCACAGAGGGUGAGAAUCCCGUGCGAUGAGGUGUCCAAUUCUAUGUAAAGUGCUUUCGAAGAGUCGAGUUGUUUGGGAAUGCAGCUCUAAGUGGGUGGUAAAUUCCAUCUAAAGCUAAAUAUUGGCGAGAGACCGAUAGCGAACAAGUACAGUGAUGGAAAGAUGAAAUGAACUUUGAAAAGAGAGUGAAAAAGUACGUGAAAUUGUUGAAAGGGAAGGGCUUGAGAUCAGACUCGGUAUUUUGCAAGCCUAUCCUUCGUGGAGAGGUUUAUUAGCAGCUUACCGGCCCAGCAUCGGUUUGGAUGGUAGGAUAAUGGCAUUGGAAUGUGGCUCUUCGGAGUGUUAUAGCCUUUGUUGAUACUGCCUAUCUAGACCGAGGACUGCGUCUUUGACUAGGAUGCUGGCGUAAUGAUCUUAAGCCGCCCGUCUU